rnacentral:rRNA from 1 species
GACGAACGCUGGCGGCGGGCCUAAUACAUGCAAGUCGAACGCUUCUUUCCUCCCGAGUGCUUGCACUCAAUUGGAAAGAGGAGUGGCGGACGGGUGAGUAACACGUGGGUAACCUACCCAUCAGAGGGGGAUAACACUUGGAAACAGGUGCUAAUACCGCAUAACAGUUUAUGCCGCAUGGCAUAAGAGUGAAAGGCGCUUUCGGGUGUCGCUGAUGGAUGGACCCGCGGUGCAUUAGCUAGUUGGUGAGGUAACGGCUCACCAAGGCCACGAUGCAUAGCCGACCUGAGAGGGUGAUCGGCCACACUGGGACUGAGACACGGCCCAGACUCCUACGGGAGGCAGCAGUAGGGAAUCUUCGGCAAUGGACGAAAGUCUGACCGAGCAACGCCGCGUGAGUGAAGAAGGUUUUCGGAUCGUAAAACUCUGUUGUUAGAGAAGAACAAGGACGUUAGUAACUGAACGUCCCCUGACGGUAUCUAACCAGAAAGCCACGGCUAACUACGUG